AUUGCCCGGCGGCGCCGGGAGCUGCCCCGCUGCCCGGCGAGCGUCCCGGCGUGCUCCGCGCCUCCCGCAACCACUUCCGGGGCGGGAGCGGGGCCGCGGGGUCCGGGCGCUGCGGCGGCAGUCCGCGCGGAGGGAGUCCGGGCGAGCUUGGCGGAGAACGGGCCGGCUUGAGGGAGUGCGGCGGCGGCUGCCCGGGGCCCAGCGCAGUGAUGUCGGAGCUCAGCGAUGAAGCUAGUGAGCCAGAACUGAACCGCAGCUUGUCCAUGUGGCAUGGGCUGGGUGCUCAGGUCAGCCGGGAAGAGCUGGCCGUCCCCUUGGAUCUUCACACAGCUGCUUCCAUCGGCCAGGAUGAAGUGGUGAAGGAAUGUGUGCAGCGGAGAGAGUUAGAUUUGAAUAAGAAGAAUGGUGGUGGCUGGACCCCGCUGAUGUAUGCCUCGUACAUCGGACACGAUACCAUCGUGCACCUGCUGCUCGAGGCAGGGGUGAGCGUGAACGUGCCGACCCCGGAAGGGCAGACUCCGCUGAUGCUGGCUUCCAGCUGUGGCAAUGAGAGCAUCGCCUACUUUCUCCUCCAGCAAGGUGCCGAGCUGGAAAUGAGGGACAUUCAGGGCUGGACUGCUCUCUUCCACUGCACCAGCGCUGGGCACCAGCAGAUGGUCAAGUUCCUCUUGGACAGUGGAGCGAAUGCCAACGUGAGGGAGCCGGUAUAUGGAUUUACUCCUUUGAUGGAAGCAGCUGCCGCUGGCCAUGAAAUAAUUGUGCAGUAUUUUCUCAAUCAUGGAGUCAGAGUGGACACAAGAGACCACAGUGGAGCCACAGCCCGGAUGCUGGCCAAGCAGUAUGGACACAUGAAGAUCGUGGGGUUGAUAGACGCUCACUCGCCUUCUCUGCCCAAGAACCUCUAUCGGAGCCCAGACAAAUUUGAAGAUCUAAGCUCUUCAGAUGAAUCCUGCCCUGUUCCCCAGAGACAGAGGCCCUGUCGGAAGAAGGGCCUCAGCAUCCAUGAGGGGCCUCGAGCCUUGGCAAGGAUCACAGCCAUCGGACUUGGAGGCAAGAUGCAGCGGCCUUGCUGUGAGCAGGUGCCUCUGCCGGGCUACGUCACCUUCAACAGCAGUGAUGAGAACCCUCUGGAAGGGGGGGGCCUCUGCUACAGGGAUGUCACCUCCCCGAUCAAUGAGCGGGAUGUGGAGAGCAGCAGCGGCAGCAGUCGGGAAGAGCACGCCUUCGGCACCAACCUGGGGGUCGGGAGGUGCAGCAGCAGCAGUGAGGGCCUGACAAGAGCCCCGGGAGUCAGCAGUGAGGCCUCUCUGGAGAGCAACGAGGAUUCAGAUCAUGCCUGUAAAAGUUCGGUUCGCAAGCAAACUAAAAGUUAUAUGAAGACCAAGAAUCGUUAUAGCAACAGCGAGAGCCAGUGGCCUCCCAGCACUGGGACUUCGGGGGCAGCCUCUUCCCCAGGAUCGAUGCCCCAGACCGAGAGGUCCCGCCAUUCAGGACCUCAGGACCUCGCCGCGCUGCUGGAGCAGAUUGGGUGUCUGAAGUACCUGCAGGUGUUCGAGGAGCAGGACGUGGACCUCCGCAUCUUCCUGACCCUCACUGAGAGCGACCUGAAGGAAAUUGGCAUCACGCUGUUUGGGCCAAAGAGGAAGAUGACCUCGGCCAUUGCUCGAUGGCACAGCAGCGCCCGUCCCCCCAGCGAUGCCCUGGAGCUGGCCUAUGCUGACCGGCUCGAAGCCGAGAUGCAGGAGCUUGCCAUCCAGCUGCACAAACGCUGUGAGGAGGUGGAGGCCAUGCGAGGCCAGGUGUCGCAGGAGCAGGGGCUACGCGCCGUGCUGGAGAGCUGCCUCCUGGAGCAGGACGGCGCCCGGAAGGACGUGCACGCCCAGCUGCAGGAGACCCGGGCCCUCGCCCGGGACGCUGCUCUCAUCCUGGACCAGCUGCGAGCCUGUCAAGCUGAGCUGUCAGCCAGAGUGAAGCAGGAGGUGUCUACCCGAGGGUCCCCCCUGGGCACAGCCCUCCCCACAGCUGACUCCAACGGCUGGCCAGCCUCCCUGCAGGCCCUGAGCCUCCCUGAGCUGUCAGGAGCAUUGGAGGAUCGAGUCCAGGAAAUGGGGCGAGUGCUAUGCUCAGUGACCCAGAGCUUGGAGAAGCUGCAAGUGCUGAACGGGAAGGAGAACUGGCGGGAGCCUUAGCUGGGAGGGACGUCUUCCCUUUCCCUUCUCAGAAUCCGACGUUGGGUGACUGAUCCACCCUGAAGCUGUGUGCCUGGAAGACAGGAGCGCGGAGAGCAAGCGGCUGCAGCGGGCCAGAGGAUCAGGCCCCCGGAGCAGCAAGCAGGACAGGGCUGGAGCCGGGGCGAGGAGCGAGGCCCACACCAAGGCAGGACGAGGGCCUCUAGGCCAGAACCUGGGGCUCCAGCUUGGCCUCAUGGCCCCAACUAACCUUAGGGACCAAGACCCAGUGGGGUAAAGGGGCUUCAAAGCCUCAUUCCCAGUUCACACACCAUAGAAAAAAUUAAGGCUAACCACCACCAAAAGUGAGCCAGCUCUUCUCUCAGCCCUGAGGCCGGCUGGUGACAGGACUCAAGGCAUGCUCCACAAGAAUAAAACUGACUUCUCGAUGGUCUUUGUGUGUCUACCUACCCACCUGAAUGAAUGGGGGAUACCUCCACCCACCCGAGUCGCAUGUGGAGAGUUUGCAUCUUGGGGUAGGAGAAAAUGUCCUGAGCCUGGAAAGCCAGGCCACCUACUGAGCAGGGCGGGCUCCCAGUAACCCAGCCACCACCCAGUAGCUGCUCAGGGUAGCGGAGAGGAGUUGUGAACACACACAGGAGGAGAUAGUCUCCUAGGAGUUCAGGGCACAGAACCAGGGGAGGGUAAGAGACAUGCCGCAAA